rnacentral:rRNA from 1 species
UACGUAGGGUGCAAGCGUUGUCCGGAAUUAUUGGGCGUAAAGAGCUCGUAGGCGGUUCGUCACGUCGGCUGUGAAAUCCCGAGGCUCAACCUCGGGUCUGCAGUCGAUACGGGCGGACUUGAGUACUGCAGGGGAGACUGGAAUUCCUGGUGUAGCGGUGAAAUGCGCAGAUAUCAGGAGGAACACCGGUGGCGAAAGGCGGGUCUCUGGGCAGUAACUGACGUUGAGGAGCGAAAAGCGUGGGGAGCGAAACAGG